GGUAGGUAUCUAUUUUCAAUUUUUGUGAGUAAAAUAUAAUAAAAUGUGAAUUCUUAUCAUUUGACACUUAUAUAUACUAUUUUUAAUAUUAUGGGUGCAGGAUAAAAAUUUUAUCACCGGAUAAAUUUUUAUUAUGUGUAACAUUUAAAGGUUUUUUUGGUAAAAUGAGUUCUUAUAUAUUAUAAAAAAACAUAAACAGUUUUUAAUUAUUUUUUUUAUAUUUAUCAUUUUCCUUUACAUUCAUCUUGAUUGACAAUAUAAUGUUUGUAUUAUUUUUCAUUUAUAUUUUUUGUAUUGCCAAGCAGGGAGCAGAGCCCCUAGUUUUUAAUAUUCUUUGUUUCUUCAAAUGUUAUUAGCUGUUUUAAUUGCACAAAAAAGUUGUUUCAUUGCAAAAUUAACUUGAAAACAUAUUAUUAAUGAUGAAUUUACAAUAAUUUAUUGAUUAUGUUUUUGUUCAAUACUUUUUUGAACACUAUACCAUUAUAUUUGUUUUAAAUUAAUAAUAAAAUGAUGAUUGAUCUUAAAAGUUCUUAGAGAAUGGACAAACCCAACGCAGAAAGUCAAAUAUUUUACAUUGAUUGUCAACGGGCUGAAAAGUAUCACAUGUGUUUGUUGAAGAAGAAACUGAAGGAGCAAUACAUUUUAAUACUGGAAAUCCAAAAAAAAAAAUCACUUUAAUGACAAUGUAUGAUUGCUAGUUGCUUAGACAGAACAAUCGGAACAAGUGAACAAAAAGAAACGAAUACCUCAGUAAAAUGUCCUUAAAAGAAACAAGAAAAGCUAAGGAAUCUGAAUGAUCAACAACAAAUAAACAAAGAACUACAUUCAAAUAUUUAAAAUAUUUGUUAUUUACUAAUUACUAACAUUUUUCAAGUUGAUUUUCUAGGAAAAAAGAAAACUAAGGUUUAAAAAAAAAAUUGAAAAUAGAUUAAGCUGAAAGAGGUAUGACUAGCGGAUGUUAUAAGAACUUAAAACCAUUAUAUUAUUAAAUCGGGGGAAGUAAAAUCUCAAUUUGCAUAUGCCACUAGUUAUGUCUAAUGUAAUUCAGCUAAUCAAUUUGUAAUUUAAGUAUUUUGCAUUAAAUUUUUUCUUAAAAUUUCCUUCUAAAGAAUUUACAAAUCUUUGUAAAAUUUAAUACAAAUAAUAAUAUACAAGAAAUAUAUAAAAUAUUACAUGUAGGCCUUCACCCAAUGAAUAAUAGAUCAAUAUUUCAAUAAAAAUACCUAAGAAUCACUGA